rnacentral:rRNA from 1 species
GACGAACGCUGGCGGCGUGCUUAACACAUGCAAGUCGAACGGAAAGGCCCUGCUUUUGUGGGGUGCUCGAGUGGCGAACGGGUGAGUAACACGUGAGUAACCUGCCCUUGCCUUUGGGAUAACUUCAGGAAACUGGGGCUAAUACCGGAUAGGAGCUCCUGCUGCAUGGUGGGGGUUGGAAAGUUUCGGCGGUUGGGGAUGGACUCGCGGCUUAUCAGCUUGUUGGUGGGGUAGUGGCUUACCAAGGCUUUGACGGGUAGCCGGCCUGAGAGGGUGACCGGCCACAUUGGGACUGAGAUGCGGCCCAGACUCCUACGGGAGGCAGCGGUGGAGAAUAUUGCACAAUGGGCGGAAGCCUAAUGCGACAACGCCGCGUGCGGGAUGACGGCCUUCGGGUUGUAAACCGCUUUCGCCUGUGACGAAGCGUGAGUGACGGUAAUGGGUAAAGAAGCACCGGCUAACUACGUG